ensembl:lncRNA
GUAAUGGAGGUCUCUGUUUCCCCUGCUUAUUCUAAUGUCAGUGCUCAGACCUACAGGAGGUCUAAACAAGUUGUCUGUACAGACUUACAGACUUCUCCCAGGAUCUGAAGCCACUGUUGGCUCAGGUCCUGCUUUCCCAUGUUUUAUACAAAGAGAUGACCUGCAGAGAGAAACAUUGACACAGCUCUGGUCUGAGCUGGGGGAGGGGGGGGUGGGAGGGGGAAGGGGCUGGGGAAGAAAGGACUUUGCAGAGAUUUUGCAUGAUGCCAUCGUAAGAAGUGUUAACAGAGCAUAAAUGGCAGAAGAAAUAAUGUGGGCUCAUUAGUGUUGCUCUUGCAGUUCUGCUGACAGAUCUGGCCUGAGCAGAAAUCCUCCAUUCAGUUGUGUACUUCUGGUUUAUAUAAAUGUCAGUAUUUCAGCUAGAGGCUAUGACUGGUGCAGUCACAAACUUCACAAAAUCCAUGUUAGGAUCUUUGGAGUCCUUAAAAUUUGUGCUGGCAAAUGAAGAAUGCAAUAAAAACAUUCUUAGGCAUAGCUAGUUUCUGAGCUUUUGAUAGUUUGGUAGUUAUCAUCUUGCAUUUUGGGUUAAAAAAAAAGAAAGGUCCCCCAAAUCCUUCCAAGCCUAAGGAAAAGAAACAGAAAAAAUGAGGAAAAAUAUUUUUUUUUUGUGGUAGAGACAAUAAAGACUGCUGUGUAUUAGAAGUCUUACAGUUGUCAGUGGUGGGUAGCACUUGUUUCUAGAUGAAAGGACUAGUGACAUACUGGACUUGAAAUCAUUUUGAUUACAGCCUUCCUUCUCUUCUCUGCUUGAAUUACAAUUUUAUUAAAUACGAUUUCAAGGAGUGCCACUGCUGGGAACCAGUAGCCAGGGCACAUCUCAAAGCAACAUCUCACAGUCCAAACUAUGUAGAAGACCUCAUAAAACAGGCCCACUGUGGCAAGAAGCAUUUAUUUGCUGCAUCUCUUGCCAAUGUGAGUACCUGUUUGUUGUACAAGCUGGCUAAAUUUGCUGCAGCUCCACUCUGACCAAUGCCUCUAUGUUGUACACUUCUGGAGUACAGAGGAGCCCCAAGUAAUUUGUGCUGCUGUGAGACUACAAAAUGUGGAAAGCUGUUGAGGAGAUGUGAUGGAGAGAAAACGUAACUGUCCCUUUCCCAAACAGUCAGAGUGCAUCUGGGCCUUGAGAGACUAUGCCAGAAUUUUUCUAUCAAAAACCUCUGGAUAUAAUCUAAUAUUGAUUAGAUUUCAGCUGACCUGCUCACUUUGGCACAUGGACUUCCCUUUGCACGGUGCCAUUGAAGGAGAAAGACAUGCUUUUGGCACUCUUAGUUGCCUCUGAAAGACACCUUCAGCUCACUUCCAAGCUACUUGCUUUCAAUGGCUUUGAUAAGAAUUCCUGGGAGAAUGAAGGAAGCACUUUCUUUUUGGAUACCACCUGAGGACCUUGCCUAUACCUUCUUACUGGUUUAAGAGGAAAGCAUGGGGUAUCCAGAAUUCCCCAUUAUACGUGACAAGCAGAAUUGCUUCUGGAAUUUGUGUCUGUCUGUGUACAGCACUACAAGGCUUCUGUCUGAGAGGAGGAAGGUUCAUGUAGUUUUAAAGUACCCAAAGCAGAGAAGAUAAUAACUGACGUUAGUCCUUGUAGUCUACACAAAAGAGUGAUCAGAAGGCUCUCAUAACCGGAGGAACAGAAGAUGCAGACUCAAGCUCAGUGCUCAGAUUCACAGUAUUUAAGCUUGUAUAACUAGAUACACAAAUGGACCGUGGUAGCAUAUUGCCAUGCUAGACACUGAAGCCCAUAUUCAUAUAUCACUGAAACCCUCAAACCCACUUGCUGAGGUCCUGCUCUAUGGCCCAAGAUGCUGAUAUUUCUGAUGGCUGGCACUCACAUAAUCCUCCAAUCAAUGUACCGCAAAAUAUCUGAUUUGCAAUAAAAGGUUUUCAAAGCAGACUCACAGAAAUUCUCCAGUGUUGGACCUCAUACAAUGCAUAACUGAGGACAAGACAUGCUUAUUCCAGUGUCUACAGCCUUGGGGCUUAGAUGCUUUCCUUGAGGCUAUGAGAAUUCUUUUUACCUCUGCAUGGAGCUUUGUCCAUUUCAUAUCUCAGCUGAACCUAUUAAGUUUUAGGAAAAUUGCAUGCAAGAUCAGAUCCAGUCUAAGAGCUCUAAACAGAUCAUCUCUUGCAAAUACAAUGUUCUGUGAGAAUGCUGGAGCUGAGCAACUUGGGGUAGAGAGUAGGGAGGUCUCUAUCUGGACAUAAGCCCAGAGGACAAGACACUGGAGCAAAUGGCUCCCACUGCCUAUUUUGUCAGCUUCUCUGCUGGCCUUACAUAAAUAUGUUUUCCUAUUCCUGUUCUUGUCUAGCCUAAUCUGAGUGUUUACUCCUACUCUCUUAACCUUUAUUCCUGCCAUUCCCUUUGUCUGUACUUCUCUAUCUACUGUGGUCCUCCAUUUUCUAAUUCAGGUCCUAGUGCUGCAUGUCUAUACAAGACGUCCCAGCAAAAUCAAUGAGGGAAGUCUGAUACUGACGUACAUUUUCACUACACCAUUAGCAGCAAAAUAGGUGUGACUAUUCAUACAAGCUGAACACUUUAACAUUAGAAGUCAAAGGCUUUAUUGUCUUUGCAUGAGGAGUCUUUUCAGGAGAAUUUAGCACCGUUUGAGCUAUCCCUACACAUACCAUUCAUUAACUUCUGACUACUUACUAAACGUUAUUUGUGCAGUGGACCUUAAAGCUAAUAUUUCCGCCCUACUGUAUAUUCCAGUUACACUCAUCACUAUAGAGAACUCUACCUUGCUGGGUACACAGUUUGUUUUUCCAUCUCCUGUCAUUUUAGAUUUGUCAUUUCAAAAACCUCUUUGAAGCUGGAUUUGUGUUAGCUAAUGACACAGAACCUCUCUGCAUACAGCUAGGCAGGAGCAGCAUAUUAGCACAAAGACAGGUUUGUUCUCAGCAGGAGGUUUGUUUGUUGGUUUUGCUUGCAGUGGCAGAAAGGUUUUCCUCCAUUUGCAGGGAUGGCAGUGUUACUUCAGUUUUUUUACUUCAUUUUUUGUCAAGUAAGAGUUCUUGCAGGUGGCAUCCAGACUGACACAACUACAUUAAAUCUACCAAAUUCACAGAAUCAUAAAAUACAAUCAAAGACUCAUUUGAGGUAGAAGAAACCUUUAAAGGCCAUCUAGUCCAACUCUCCUGCAAUGAAUAGAGACACCUAGAGCUCCAUCAGGUGCACAGAGCCCUGUCCAGCCUGACCUUGGAUGUUUCCAAGGGCAUGGCACCCACCACCCCUCUGACCAAGCUGUUCCAGUGCCUCACCACGCUUAUCAUAAAAACAUUUUUCUUACAUUCAGUCUAAAAUUGGUCCUUCAAUGUCUACAUGUGUGUGUACAGUCAUAGAGGGGUUGUUUUAAAGACAAUGAAUUUUAUUUUCUCUUUGAGAUGUUUAUGGGUACUUGUGCCUUGGAUAGGUCUAUUAAAGUGCUGACUGGAAACAUUUAAAUUGGAUGGUGAGGUUAAUUUAAUUUUAAAAUUAGCUGAAGUCCAUUUGCUGAGUUGCUGCUUUUCUUUCUCAAGUAAGCUGUUCUAGUUUCUGAGUUAUUGGUUGAAAUAUGAUUACUGGCACAUCAAACUAGCAACAAUUGCCUUGCUUUUGCCUUUUUCAGCUUUAUGAGGUCUAGUUUAUUAUACACAGACCUUUGAGAAGGCAGAAUAACUGUACUGUAUCCCAACUGCUUUUCUUCUGCAUCGUGGAAAAAGCUAUAAAGGAGCUGGUAUAAAGAUGCUGCAGUAAUUAUUUUCAGGCAGCACCACUGCUGGGAUACGAAAGGAAAGGGAAAAUACAAAUUCACCACAGAAAUCAUAAUUAACAUGUAUCUUAUAAGUUUGGUUUGCACUGAUUGGACAAAUGCAGAUAUGAGUAUAAAAACUUAAGUGAGAAAGGAAGCACUUUGACAUGCUUGAGACAAACUUGAAACUUCUAUCAGCCCGUGUGUGAAUCUAGGGAAGGAGAAUGGGAACACUGCUACCAUAAAAUCAUCUUGUGGGCAGAAAGGAAACACCAAGUUUCUUCUGUCCAGUAUAGUUAAUGUCUGGUGCCCUACUGGGGCAGCAGUGAGACAUCUGUGCCAUGAGCCCCUUGGUGGGAGAACCAGGAUGUCACGUGAAUUGCUCUUCCUCGUUGUGAUAUCCAUUUAGGGUGAUUUUUGUGUUUGCUCAUGUGCUUGUACACUCUGGCCUUCGUUUGUCUGCAGCUCCAUGUUUGAUGUAAUCUUCCUAUACACGGUGCCUUUUAGGUAUGCUAGAUACUAUUUCUUUGAUGUCUCUGUUACUCUUAAAAUAGGCUUGGUCUGGCUCCAGUUCUGCGCGUCUUUAACUCAUCACAGAUGAGACAUUUAUAGCGUUGGGCCAUCUUCUGUCAUCCCAUGCCCACACUCCUCUGCAGGUCCUGCUGUAGUCUCUACGCAGGUGACAGGCCUCUGCUGGGGAGACAGGCUUCUACUUCUCUCUACCAUAGCAUUGACUUACAGUCAGAAAUAGCCCAGCCUACACAGAAUAGCUACUUGUUACUACUCUCCCUAUAAAAACUAGGGUCCUAAAAGAUAAGGAAAACUAAAACAAAUUAUAUGUAGCCACCUGGCUGGAAGAAAAAUUGUUGAACUGAAUUAAAGCAAAGCUCCAGGCAGAUCCUGAAACAUUCAGACAAAGCAAGCGUGACAAGCCUCAAUCCUGAGGUCUGGAGACGUCAGUACAAACCCCGUGGCCAACAGCAAUACAUAUGUUGUAUUACUGGCAAUACAAAUGUUGAAUUACUGGGCUAUUGUGUUAUAGCACUGAGAUGAAAGGAUGCGUAUAAGUGUAUGGGGUCACAGGGGGCAGCUUAGCUUGUGAAAGAAGGAGCUGGAGGACAUCACAAAGUUCUCAGGCAGCAGAGUGGAUUAACCAGCACACUCAGGGCAGAUAUUUGCAUCGGCCUCUUGAACGGAGGUGCCCAAAUCUCUCUCACCGAGUCUUUGAGUGCUACUUUGAUUUGACUCUUGGUGCACUAACAGCAGCUGUUGUGCAGGAGCUGCUGGGUUUAAAAUCAAGUUCAGCAGUUUUUGGCUCCAGGCCAGCAUACAGACUGUGAGAUCUGACGCGGGAAAACAGACAUGAGCUCAAAAACCAAAUCCUGGGAGGGUGUUCUCUCUCUAGCAUUUUGCUCUUCUCUAAAUCUUUAUUUGGAAACUUCUGGAAUUGAAGCAUAUUAAUGCUGUGGAGCUUUAAAGUGAAACCCGAGAUGAUUUUUUAUCACAGGGUACAAAAUGUUCUGAAGGGGCAAAGCAGGAUUUGAGGUGUGAAGAAGCCUGAUUUUUCUCAUAUACAGCUAUUCAUAAAGGGAAUUAAUUGUUGUCCACAUAUGUUUAUCCAUUUAUAUUUAUCCAUUGAAAUGUUGGUAUUUUCUAUGCUAAACAUUUUCAUAGUAAUACAGAUGGCAUUAAAAUACCUCAAAAAACAGAAACAAACAACAACAACAACCAAACAGAAACAGCAACUAGUAAAAAUAUGUUAUGACUUCACUGCACAUGGGAAGGUUAAAAGGCAAUUAUACUUUAUGAAUUUAACAUUUUGUCAGUGGAAAUCUGUCUCUGAUGUUUGCAAAAAUAUCCCAGUUUAAAUGUUUAAAUUUCCAUCAGUGUGGGAUAAUUUCAUUCUUUUCAUUGGCAUCAAGGGACUAUUCAUCCAUAGUGUUUGAUGCAGCUGCUCUGCUCCCCAGAACUAAGGAUAUAUUAUAUGUUGCUUAUUUCUUUGGUCACACUUUUUGUAUUAUAUAGCUUAUUGUCUUGGUGAUCUUUCCAUUAAAAUGGUUAAUGUGAUGAGAGGAAGAAAGAAGGAAAAUCUGUGAGGGUCUUAGCUUCAGAUACAGAUAUAGUUGCUCAAGGCUUAAUAUGAGACUCUGUUCUCCUUCAGUCAAAGCAGCUCAUUUUAUGGUAGCUGUAGACUGACUGAAGUCAUGGUGGGAACAGGUUGUCCAGAGAGCUGGUGGAUACCCUGACCCUGGAGGCACUCACGGUCAGGCUGUACAGCUCUGAUGGAGCUGUAGUUGUCCCUAUUAAUUGCAGGGAAGUUGGACUAGAUGGCCUUUAAGUGUCCCUUCAACUCAAAUGAUUCUAUGACUAUGAUUCUAUGGUUGUUAGGAGCUGUAUGACUGUCUUAAAUGAAAAAGGCAAUGAGAUGCUGCAAAAGUGCUGUUUUUCCACAGUUCCAGUGAGUGAACAUGUUUUGUCAUUUGCAUUCCUUUCAUUUAACAGGGGCAGAUAGAGAUGAGUUAAGAGAGGAAAUCAUCAUUAUGACUCAGCGCCUGUACAGCAGUAGGAGAUUUCAGUUGGAGCACAAAGGCGCAGACUGUUGAAGGAGCAGAUGCAGACAGGGCAAUGGUUCAUGAGCAAAUUGAUGACUUGAUGGUAGCUCAGAAACCAGGAGCAUUGUUCCAGUGGUGAUGUCAAAAUUACAAACUGUGUGUUGUAAUUAAUAAAACCCUUUCCAUCAGAGAGCUGGAUUUAAGGGCUUUGGCACAAGUGCAGUUAGCGUGCAGAAGAUGUAUGUUUCUUUCUCCUAGUGAUGCUAGAACAAAUAGCCCUGAUUUGCACAGUGAGUGGCAGAAAUUAGAAAAGAUAUAUGGGAUUUUAAGCUUAAUUCCUGUCAUUUAGACCUCUGGCUUGUGGUUGAGCAGUGGAGUUAGGAAUGUGAAGUAAAAAUGAAAUUAAAAAUAUCCAGUAGAGAAAUAGGCUGAGAGCACUGUACAGUUCUCUUAGGGAGAUUUGCCUUCUGUUUUACUGUGAUGAAAGAGUACUUUCAUGCUGGUAGUAUGUGAGACCCUUUGUUUCCAUGCUGUAGACAGGAACAAGAGCAGAGUCAUAGUUUGAGCUGAUUGGAGCAUGUUGCUUUGCUGUUUGGGUGCCAUCAUGGUUUGAUGCCAUAUUUCCAAGUAAAACUGCAGGUUCUGGGUAACAAAUUCUGCCAGGAGAAGGUGAAUUUUCUGCAUGAGUGCCAGGUAUUGCUUCAUCUUCACAACUUUCCCUUACCAACUUUCAUUUUAGGAAAAAAAAAGGAACACCUCUCUUAACAUUUAUAUUCACUCCUUGACUUACUACCUUUUUGUUUUCAGACAUGAAGGGGUGAUGGGGCAAAGCAUCCCUCUCUGCAGAUCAUUCCCAAGCUCAGGUGCUGUGAGAUGGGGCAUAGAUUCCCUUGUACCACGUACAGCAAGAGGUAAUGCAACCACCUGAGAGGAGGGACACAAUUGCCAGUUAGCGCUGUCACUGAUUUAGGAAGCGGUUUAUAUCAAUCUUUGCAGACUGACUGAAUCACGGCUGUGGUUUGGUGGCACUUUCCCGGCAUGGGCUGAAAAAGCUGUCACGCUGAAAAUGAUGUGAAUGGUCAUUAGAGAGCUCCUGCUGUCCCCUAGGGAGGUGAGCUAACCAAGGUGCUAUUGCGUCAUUCUCCCCUCAUGAGCUGGAAGGUGACGAAGUUAGGGGAACGUGACCUGUAGCAGUUGUGUUGAAUGUGAAAAGUGUGGCAUGGUGCCUGUUGACUUUAUUUACCUGACUGUUAUCUCUGGACUUCCCUCCAACUAUACAUUGUUUAAGAGGAAUUUCUCUAGAGAUUACAGAGGUAAGACAUCUGUCUUAACACAAGGUUUAUUACUUUUCUUAGUGUUCUUUCCAUGUUUUUGAUGUGAAUUGACAGAGGAAUUAAGCAGCAAGAAUUAAAUGACAGAAACAUUUUACGUUGGAUGUCAGAAGAUAUCUCUUCCCAGCAUGACUGUUGUGUGCUCUGCUCAGUACAGACUUCCUCUGAUCACUGGCACGUUGAAGAAGUCCCUCCUCCAAGAUUUCUGUAAUAAUGUGAAGAUGAAAGACAGAAAUCAAGACUAUGUGAAAUGUUGAUUGGGGGUCUGAAUUUAACUGGCAAAAGAGAUUAGUUCCUGAAAAUUACAUUAGCAGUGGCUUGAAAACCUAUUCAAAUAAAAAAAAUGAGUAAGGAACUCUGGAUUACAGUCAUACUUGUAUUUUUGAAAGACAAAGAGGGAACCAGAAAUGCUAUAUUGUUAAGCUUCAUAUUAAGCAAUGCCUAACAUCAGUUGGAUUAAAAUUAAGGAUAAAAAAAUAGCAUUUGGCUAAGUCCAAUAGUAAAUAUUCCUUUGCUUGAAACUAGAUGAUCAUUGUAGUCCUUUUCAACCCAGGCCAUUCUAUGAUAUGAUUCAAAGAAAGGCUUCACACCUAACCUUCCUGGCCUUUGCACUGACUAUUCAAGCUCUGCCAGUAGCACCUGUCCUUUUUUCCCACUUCUCAUUUUCUUCCACUUGUCUCUUUAUGUUCUUCUGAAACAAAGCAAUCUUAUAGAACCCCAGCACCCUUUAUCCCUUCUUCUGCCCAAACGUCCCCAGGGUGUAAAUUCCAAGAGAUAUUGGUUGCCAGGUAUUCAAGGAUGACUGCCACACAUUGUUUCUUUCUUUCUGGGUUACCAUUUUCAUUCUGGCUCUGCUAUAAGGUAUCUGUUUUGUUCUCUCUUGCCCGAUUUUAGCUGUGUAUUCUCAGUCUGAACCUCUUAAAUAUUUUCAAUCUGUACUGUACGUCUAAAUCUUAAUGAAAUAUACAGAAUUGCUAUAUUUUAUACUUCAGAGCUAUACCCAUAAUAAUAAGAAAAAAAUUCUUUAUUUUUCUUCAGCAAAACUGAUGAACUAUAAAUGGUUUGCUUUUUGGCUUAUAUUUGUUAAAAUUUGGCAAGACAUCUGCAUCAUGAAAAUUUAGAGACUGAAAAUCAAAUAACAUAUUGGGGAUUCUUCCUCUCUUGCUCCGGUACAUACAUCCUCUGUUAUCACUCUGUCCUUCACCAGAAAGUGAAUCUAUUCAUAAUUAUAAUAUUUUUUAACACUUUGACACGCUAAAUUACCUCCACAACACAACUCUCCCAGAUAGAACAGAAGCUUAUGCUAUAUGUCAGCUCUACAUCUUGUUUCACAGCUCAGGUGUGUAACUGUUGGCAGCUGCAUGUAUAUGGAUAUGACAGCGAGUGUUUUAUACCAGAUUCCCAUUUAAGGCCUCAACCAAAACCUACUGCAGCCAAGAAACACAUAUACAGAUUAUAUAGAAUCAUAGAAUGCUUUAGGUGCCUUCCAACCCAAACCAUUCUAUGAUUCUGGGAUUCUAUGACUUCAAUGGGACUGAUUCAACUGAAGUUGAAUCUUAAGGCACUUAAGUUUUUUUUUCCAUCAGCCCUUGCCAUUUUUAAUUUUCUACUUCUGCACAAAUUACGUGUCUACUGCCUUGACAGCAUUCUUGAUAUACUUGGAAUACCUAUGGAAAAUGAUAAUGUCAGCAAUACAGCAAUUAAACUGUUUUUUUGUUUGUUUGUUUUGUUUUGUUUUCUGGAUGAGAGCAUAUGUCAUUAAAUUCUCAUUUCAAAUUGUAACCCAACAGGAGUUUGUAAAUUAACCCAGCUUCUAUAAAGCAACACAAGACUAUUCUUUGAAUAAAAAUUACAUUUCACUGAAUUUAUUUUCUCUGUCUGUGAGAAAAAACACAUGAUUAAAAAGCCAUUUGAAGUGCUUGGUGCUAGUCACUCUGACGUAGUUUACCUUGGUAGUAGCAGCCUCGGUCAGUUUCCCAUGCUGUGUAACUCAGGUGACAGACAUCCUACUUUAAUAAACCUGGAUAAUUUUUCUUUCCGUGAUAAACUCAGCAGAACUUGGCACAGUGUGAUGCUUUGGAUAUGGAAGACUUAAAUUCAUGGAGUUUUUAAAUGCACUCCUCACUGUAAAACACCUACUUCUAUGUCAUAGUAAAAUGCCUCAGUGUAGGGUUUUUUCCCUCCUUUUUUUUUUCCUUUUUUUUUUCAGUGAUAUUAAAAUGCAUUUUUUUUUUUCUAAAGAUCUGAAUUCAGGGAAGUCUGAUACUGUAUCUUCCGUGCUUUCAAUUCUAACCAUAUUUUUUUAUUGAUCACAGCUGGGCUGUUGCAUCCUUUGAAGCAAAAUUCACCUCACCUCACAGCAUUUCUGCCCGUUGUCUUGCCCAAGAGCACAUUUGUUGCACAGCUAACUUAUACAACAACCAUUUUUUA